UUACGGCCAUAUCACGUUGAAACAUCGGUUCCCGUACAAUCGCCGAAGUUAAGCAACAUCAAGCCUGGUCAGUAACUAGACUGGGGACCGUUUGGGAAUACCAGCUGCUGU